AACGAACGCUGGCGGCAUGCCUAACACAUGCAAGUCGAACGAGACCUUCGGGUCUAGUGGCGCACGGGUGCGUAACGCGUGGGAAUCUGCCCUCAGGUACGGAAUCAUUCAGGGAAACUUGAGCUAAUACCGUAUAAUGACAUCGGCCCAAAGAUUUAUCGGCAGAGGAUGAGCCCGCGUAGGAUUAGCUUGUUGGUGAGGUAAAAGCUCACCAAGGCGACGAUCCGUAGCUGGUCUGAGAGGAUGAUCAGCCACACUGGGACUGAGACACGGCCCAGACUCCUACGGGAGGCAGCAGUGGGGAAUAUUGGACAAUGGGCGAAAGCCUGAUCCAGCAAUGCCGCGUGAGUGAUGAAGGCCUUAGGGUUGUAAAGCUCUUUUACCCGGGAUGAUAAUGACAGUACCGGGAGAAUAAGCCCCGGCUAACUCCGUGCCAGCCGCCGCCGUAACAC
rnacentral:rRNA from 1 species